rnacentral:rRNA from 1 species
AUGCAGUUUUUCUUUUGUUUCAGGUAUUGCCGAACCAGUUUAUUCAAUUCAGUUAGUUUGGUGGCUUAUAAUGUCUUCUACGCAAGCAUUCAUGUUCUAACUACUGCUCUGGACAAGGAUUUAUCUGAAAAAGACAGUGGCACAGAACCCAGAAAUUUCACUUUACUGCCAGUCUGGAAGGCUUUUAAUCCAAGUACUUUUCCUGGUUGGUUUGGUCGAUCAUUAUAUGAUGCAAUCUUUGUUUUCUUAAUCACCAUUAAUGCUUAUGCCAAUGAAAAAAGUGAGAUGGAGGUGUUGUCAAUGGUUGCUCUCUCAGGAAGUAUUUGGUUGCAGGCGUCUGUCUGUUGUGACAUUAGAGAUGAAUCCUUUCACUUUUCUGCAGUUUCUGGCAAUAUGGGGAACCUUUGCUGCUUUCUAGUACAUCAGAAAUUUCUGUAUCAAUGCUACCAACUGCUGGGAUGUGCACUAUCAUGUACAGCCUUUGUAGACAGCCGUCAUACUGGAUAA